AUGAAAAAAGCACAAGAGAAGCUAGGAGCAUUGCUGGGGCGAAACCCUGGCUUGUCCAAAGAUUUCAACAACUGUGUUGACUUCAACUUGACGCCGGAAGAAUUUGAGGCAGGGUGGUGUGAGCUGAUGAUGAAGUACGAGGCUAUGACUAACUCCCACUUCGAGAAUCUAUACAAAUACCGAGAAACAUGGGUACCCUGUUACUUUAAGCACCAAUUCUUCCCUUUCUUACAGUCAACUCAACACAGUGAGGGGUUCAACGCUGUCCUUAAGUGA
rnacentral:rRNA from 1 species